UACGGAGGGGGCUAGCGUUGUUCGGAAUUACUGGGCGUAAAGCGCGCGUAGGCGGACCUGCAAGUCGGGGGUGAAAGCCCGAGGCUCAACCUCGGAACUGCCUUCGAUACUGCGGGUCUCGAGUCCGGGAGAGGUGAGUGGAAUUCCAGGUGUAGCGGUGGAAUGCGUAGAGAUCCGGAAGAACACCGGUGGCGAAGGCGGCUCGCUGGGCAGUGGCUGACGCUGAGGCGCGACAGCGUGGGGAGCAAACAGG
rnacentral:rRNA from 1 species